rnacentral:rRNA from 1 species
AAAUUGAAGAGUUUGAUCAUGGCUCAGAUUGAACGCUGGCGGCAGGCCUAACACAUGCAAGUCGAGCGGUAGCACAGAGAGCUUGCUCUCGGGUGACGAGCGGCGGACGGGUGAGUAAUGUCUGGGAAACUGCCUGAUGGAGGGGGAUAACUACUGGAAACGGUAGCUAAUACCGCAUAAUGUCGCAAGACCAAAGUGGGGGACCUUCGGGCCUCAUGCCAUCAGAUGUGCCCAGAUGGGAUUAGCUAGUAGGUGGGGUAACGGCUCACCUAGGCGACGAUCCCUAGCUGGUCUGAGAGGAUGACCAGCCACACUGGAACUGAGACACGGUCCAGACUCCUACGGGAGGCAGCAGUGGGGAAUAUUGCACAAUGGGCGCAAGCCUGAUGCAGCCAUGCCGCGUGUGUGAAGAAGGCCUUCGGGUUGUAAAGCACUUUCAGCGGGGAGGAAGGCGUUAAGGUUAAUAACCUUGGCGAUUGACGUUACCCGCAGAAGAAGCACCGGCUAACUCCGUGCCAGCAGCCGCGGUAAUACGGAGGGUGCAAGCG